rnacentral:lncRNA from 1 species
AUCCGAACUUUACAAGAAAACCCGGUGUUAGAUGAAGAGGUGUAUGCAUGUAAUCCCAGUUUGGCACACUGAGGCUGAAGGAUUGCAAGUUCAAGGCCAACCUGGGCAUCUUACUGAGACCCCCAUCUCAAAGUUUAAAAAAUAAAGGCUGGAAUGUAAUUCAUGGUAAAGUACCCCUUUGUCAGAUGGAAAGUUAAAGAAGGACUAUACCAGCAUAUCAUAACAAACUGAACCUGGGGUCAAUAGGUAUUUUGUUUCUUCUGUCACUUAAUAAUAUGUCUUUGGGCAUAUCAUUUAAACCUCUUAUUUAUAUAAAACAAUUGCAUUAAAUUCUUGUUCCUUCUAGUGCCUUUCUAAAUAUUCUGUUUAAAAUAUCAAACUUCAGGGGCUGGGGUAUAAGCAGUAGAGUACCAGCAUGCACAGGCCCUGGAUUCCAUCCCCAGUACUGCCCACCCCCCACCCCCCCCCCCCAAAAAAAAAUCAAACUUCAACCUGGGGAGGUGGUUCAGUGGCAGAGUACUUGCCUAGCAUAUAGGAAGCCCUGGGUUCAGGCCUCAGCAACACCAAAAAGAAAGUAAAAUACCACACUUAAAUAUAAAUAUUCUAUUAGAAAAAAAAUUCUAAUCAAAGAUCACUUUCUAUAAGGUAAAAUCAGAAUAAAAUGUAUGUGAAAAUACAAUUUCUAACAUUUAAGAGUAUGUUUUCUUGAUUUCAUUUUUAGUGAAUUAUUUUCAACUGUUCAGCUUAAUUUAUAUAUAUUUAUAUUAAUCAAAGUACCUGUUUCAUUGUUGCUAUUCCUUAAACUUUUUUUCUAAACUUUUUUUUCUUUAUUUCUGGAUCUUGUAGUUUCACAGGUUAUUUGAAGUGUUUCAUAAAUGGUUUUUAAAUGUAUAAUAAGUCUGUCUCUAAUCAGCUUACUUAAAAGGAAGUAAGUCAGAUGAGCAGGAAAUUUAUAUUCCUCUAAAGACUUAUUAAACUUAAUAUCUAAAGGAAUUAUGAAAACUUCUAUAUUUCUGAUUUAAAUACAUAGAAUGUGAGUAAGCUAAAUGGAGACUUCAAGGUUUUUUUUUUUUUGUUUGUUUGUUUGUUUUUUAAUUGUUUUGUUUUUGACCUGGUUGCCUGUGCAAGCAAUCAUUGAUUAAUAGGGGAGAUAGCAGAUACUUGGUAACAUUAACUACAGACAGGUUGAGCAAGUUCACCCUAUUUCAAAGGAAGAGGGUCACUGGUGAGAGAAAUAAUACUCCGAAAGGAAAAUCUAAUCACUGGCUUAGGAACUUUGGAGACACUUUCAUAUCAUAUUCUCUAGUGAAGAAAUCUAUAUGCUAUCUGUAUGACCAUCUUCACAAUAUUUUUUAAAAAUACUAAUACCUUUAUUCAGUAUAAAAUUAUUCCUAACCCUUAUACUGAAUGAUAUGGUUUUAAGUGAUAAGGUAGAUAAUUGCCUGAACAUGGAAACAGCAUGAAGAAAAGAUUACAGAAGAUAUGUAGUUAUUAAUUAACCUACCUUUGUGAUCAGAGUCCUGAAGGAAAGUUACAGUAAUCUGUGAAUGUGGUCCUUAGAAUUUAGAUAAACAAAUUGCAUAUAAUUGCUUUUUUAUAGACAAAGUUUUUUUAAAGGAACAAUUAAUUUUAUUAUUUAACCCAGCAGCUUCAAAAUAUUAUUUUACCUGUAAUGCAACAUGUUAAAUGUCAUUGAGAUAUUUUAUAUUGUCUUUUGUGACUUCAGUGUCUCUUAUGUGCUUUACACUUUUAUCAUAUCUCCAAUCUGGCCCCAUUUAGUGAUCAGCUAUCACAUGGCUAUAACAAUAUUGGACAGCAUAAGUUUAGACAAUGCCUAUAAAAAUAGGAGAGUAUGUCCAACAACUGGUUUGUUUCCAUCCUGAAUCCUGAGUAAAGGAUUCCAGGGUGUUUCAAGUCAUGUACAAGUUAGGUUUAAGACUUUGUAGCAUAGUUAUUCAAGGAAUGUAUAUUGGGUUAUCUACUAAGAAUUAAUUAUAGCACUGUAUUGCUGGAGGGAAACUCUUACACAGUCUAGUUCAGUCUCCUCAUUUCACAGAUUAAGCAAGCAGAUCUAGGGCUUAAAUCAUGAUUCAAAUUAUUUUUUCUCUUCAAUUACCAUGUAUGAACAUGCUUCCUUGAUAUAUGAUAAGCUUUUUUUCAAGAUUCCUGUUCUAACAUGUAGAAUUCUAGGAAGUCUUUUAGGACACAAAGAACCUAUUGCUUCAAACUGUUGCUUCAGAAAUUGCAAAGAAAAGAUUUUGAUUUGUUGUCUAAUUUUUUAAUGCACAUAAGCAAAUUUAAUAAAUGUUCAUCUUCCUUUCUCUUCCUAUCAUCUACUUUUAAAACGUUCUCUGAAGAUUGAGUACUUUCAAUAUUUUUCUUAACUGGGUGAAAUGGAAACUUUGUAAAAAUCCUAUCAAGGUGAAGCUACCCACUUGUUAACACAGAAAAAUAUAUUUUUUAAAUUGAGACUAGUUAAUGGGAUAAACUGUUCAAAUGCAGCACUUGAGAAGAAAAGUUCUAUUUUAAAUUCAUAUAUCUGCAACUUUUAAACUAAAUUCAGAUAACAUUUAGCAAAACUAAACAAUAAAUUACCUUUUUGUUGUUUCCAUAGUCAAGUCUCAGGUAUCUUGAUUUUAACUCAGAUUUUAU